AGCUUCAUAGUUUAUUCAAAACGCGGAGUUGCAAACUUUGAGAAACAAACAAAAAUAUUGUUGAGGCUU
rnacentral:tRNA from 1 species